rnacentral:rRNA from 1 species
GACGAGGGAUCCUAGCGUUGUUCGGAAUCAUUGGGCGUAAAGCGGGUGUAGGUGGCUUUGUAAGUCAGGUGUGAAAGCCCAGGGCUCAACCCUGGAAGUGCAUUUGAUACUGCGAAGCUUGAGUGCUGGAGAGGUAAGUAGAAUACCUGGUGUAGUGGUGAAAUACGUAGAUAUCAGGUGGAAUACCGGAGGCGAAGGCGGCUUACCAGCCAGACACUGACACUCAGACCCGAAAGUGUGGGGAUCAAAC